rnacentral:rRNA from 1 species
UACGUAGGAUGCAAGCGUUGUUCGGAAUUACUGGGCGUAAAGAGUACGUAGGCGGUUUGAUAAGUCUGCUAUUAAAGACUGGAGCUUAACUCCAGGACUGUAGUGGAAACUGUCAGACUAGAGGACAAUAGGGGAAGUGGGAAUUCUCAGUGUAGCGGUGAAAUGCGUAGAUAUUGGGAAGAACACCAGUGGCGAAAGCGCACUUCUGGGUUGUUACUGACGCUGAGGUACGAAAGCGUGGGGAGCAAACGGG